rnacentral:lncRNA from 1 species
GAGUUAGGAUCGAAUGAACUUCCCUCACAUUUUUUCAAUAAUCUCCCCGCCCUAUUAUGGGGCCAAAGGCCAUGAAUGGUAAAUGACUCGGGGAGAGGGGUUUUACACUUCCCUGGGUUGAGCUCGCAAAAUGCAGCCGGCCAUUGAAGGUUAAGACGAAAUCCGGCCACUAAAGGUAUGAAUUUGAGAUAUUCAUUCUCACAAUUUGCUGAUGCAGGGCAAUCUACGAACUUUGUUGCGAGUUGGUUUACACAUAGAUUAAUCGCCAGAAACACUUUACUUGGGCAAAAUAGUUCUGGCAAAGCUCCCAACUGCUUUUUAAUUUUUGCUUUUAUAUCUGUUCCAGCACGAGGCUUUCCGUCUUCCGGUUCAAAUAUCCCUACAAAUUUGCAAUACUACUCUCAUCAAACUCAGAUUAAUGAUUAAUCAUGCAUAACAUCUAAAUUUAGUGUAGUAGUUCCUUUAUUUUGAGACUAAAAUAUAAAAAUGCAUAAAAUCCUGACUUAUAUACUACUAAUUAAAAUUUAAUUACUUUUUAAAAUUAAAACCAUGAUCGUCACUUAUUAUUUUACAAUAAUUUUAUUUUUUGUGGAAGUUAUUUAGUUCAUUAAUUAUACAAUAGAGUAUGAUUUAAACACUAAAUUUAUUAGACUUUUAAGUUUCCACUCAACUUUAAACUCUAAUUAAAAAUGCAUAUAUAAAUAUGAAGGAUUGAUUAUAAAAACUAAAUAUUAAAUUUUGAAAAUAUAUAAAAAAAUAAUAUUAAAUUAAAAAUACAAAAGAAUCACAUCAGUAAUACUCAAUAAUAUGUGAUCUAUAGUUAUUCGUUUUUUAAGAAAAAUAUAUAGUCAUUUUAUAAAUUAUAAAGAUAAUUACAAGAAUAAAAAUAUGUCUUUUGGUCCUUCGGUUUAUAUAUUUAGCAAAAUGGUCUCCUGUGGUACAAACUGAAACAAAUCGGGUCAAAUCGAAUUAAAUUCAACUAAACAAAGCCUUAAACCACUAAUUCAAUAGUUUCUUCUUUGAUUCUUUUAGUCCACCACAAGCCUCACUCAAAACAUCAUAAUCGAAAGUACGAUUGUUAGUAACUUAAUUAAUUCCUUAUAUAUAGACAAAUAUUUUACAUAUGUUUCGAUGUGGGACUGGACUCGAGUGUUACACAAACGGUGGACAAAUGCACCACAAGGACCGUUUUGCUAAAUAUGCAAAGUUAGAACCACAAUUAAUAUUGACAAACUCAAGAGACAAUUAAUUUUGCACUUUUUGUGUUUGUUACUAUUAUUGUUUUUUCUUCUUUGGUCUUACUCUGCUGGUUAAGCAAUCAACUAAAUUAAAGACUAUUUAAUUAUACAUGAUCUAUAAGUAUAUAUGUUUACCUUCCUUGUUUAGCGCCCCAAGCACAUCAGCUUUCUUUCUUAAAGCAAUGGCAUUUUGAAAAUAAACAGUCUGCGUGAAUUCGCGUGAUUCUGAACACCUUCCAUGUUUGUCCCACUCGUAUUUCCAAAAUUCUUUAUUAUUUGCAUGACUGACAGUAGGCCAGAAUUCGUUCAAAUCUGCUAGUAAGGCACCCUUUAUCUGUAAAUUACCAAAUUAGAGGAGAGAAAACUAGCUAGUUAGUUUCACAUAUAUAUAUAUAUAUAUAGACUGCAUAGAGAAUUAAUUAAGUCGAAAUUAAAAAGCAAAUACACAUUUUGAGUACUCACAGAGUUAGCAUCGAAUGGACUUCCCCGACAAUUUUCCAAUGGUUUCCCCGCCCUAUUAUAGGGCCAAAGGCCAUGAAUGGUAAAUGAGUCGGGGAGAGGGGUACUUUUACACUUCCCUGGGUUGAGCUCGCAAAAUGCAGUCGACCAUUGAAGGUUAAGGCGAAAUUCGGACACUGCAGGAGCCGGAAUCUGAGCAUUCCCACCCCAAGAGCAAAUGCUCAAACUCAAUAUAAUGAUGAUACUAAUAAUAUCUAUUGCCCUCAUUUUAUAUAUAUAUAAUCUCUUCAAAUUUUCCGUGAUCUCUAUACUUCUAUGCU